CAAGGAGGGCCAUUCUGGACUAGCAAGGAGCUAUUAUGAAAUGAAGAUACAACAUACACGACUGGUUUCAGAUGCCUAUAAUGCUAGCAUUGGUUUCGGUGCAGUGAUUGCGGAUGAAAGCAGUGACGAAGACCUUACUUGAGUGUUGUUGUUGAUUGUUGUUAGGCUUUAUUAUUAUGUUUAAGGAUAUUUUAGUUUAGAACUUUUUGUAUGCAAACUCAACUAUUUUGAGUUUUGAAUUAUUUGACCAAACAUUGUAUCCAUAUUUUAUUUUUGUACAUGAUAAUGCUACUUGGAUAUGGUGUAAACAAUUUCAUAGAAUAGGAAACUAUUUCU